UGUACAGACAAGUCUGCUUUAAUAGGUAUAAUGUAUAAAUUGCUUUGAUAACCAUAUUCCUCUACCACCUUUAUAUUUUGAAGUAUUCAAUCUAGCUUUAAUUUUAUUAAUGUAUUUCUUUUAUCUUUCAUCUGAAUAGUGUUCUGUAUGUAAAGUGACCAAAUGUGAUUAAUGAUGAAUAGAUUAAGAUGGGACAGGGUGUUUGAAAAAUGACUUAAGUAGUGCAUGUAAGUCACUGGCUAUAGUCCCAAAAUGCAAAUUCUGGUUAAGUUAAUGACUGGAAAAUCAUGAUGGUAUUACUGUAUGAGUUCUGCAUUAUUUAAAAUUGCUUUCUAAACAAUAAAUAAUUAGCAUUUUACAUUCAGACUCAUUAAUAUUAUCACACAAUUAUUUCUAUAGGCAUUAUUAUUUUGGAGUCAGAAGUACAAAUAUAAUGGAUUUGUAGAAUUCUGAUGAUCGUUUUUUGCUGUCCAGAGUUUGAAAGUUGAGCCUUGCAUAUGGCGUACUGAAGAUCAUGUUCUGUUAAAGGAAAAUUGAUCUUUCUGCACUAGGAAGAAGCUUGUCUGUGCAGGAGAGGGCUUUCUCAGAGGCUGGUUUCAAUGACUUAAUUGGACAAUAUGUUUAUCUUCUUGGAUGGUGAAUAUAAUAAGUUGAAGUGAAUAUAAUAAGGUGAGUAAAGUUUUGUUCUUUUUCAUUUCAAAUGUCAUUAAAGGCUGUUAUGGAUGUUUUGGUUUUUAUGUUUACAGCUGAUAACACUGUUAAGCAGAAUAUCCUUGUAUUUGAGUUGUGAUCUUACAUGCCUUACCCAAACUUUAUGAUAACAAAAGCAGCUCAUAUGUGAGGUUUGUAGGUCCUCCCUCACUACACGCUUGCCCCCUCACACACAGAUACAUAUAAUUUUAUUUCAAUAUGCUUGGGUUAACUAGACUAUUGAAUUUCAAUUUGUUGUGCUCAUUUAUAAAAUAGUCUUCCUAUUGAGUUUGUUAGAGCUGAAUGAAAAUAGUGUAUUUAAGGCUGCUCAUGGUCUUUUCCAUCAUGUUUUCCUUAAUGCAGAAUUCUGAGAUUAAAAGAAAUGACAAAAUAAUGCUUGUGGAAAUAUAGAAGUCAGUUUUGUGGCUAUGUGGCAGUGGUCACAAUGGCAGCUGGGGGGCUGGCCUGUCCUAUUAACAUCCUCAUAGCUCAUGCUGGUCUGUAAUGUCUUCAGCCCACAAGCCCCUGCUAUUCCCUCAGAGUCAGUGCAUUGCACAGCCCUGCACUGCCUUGUUUUCCAUGCCAGGCACAGCACAGGGUGAGCACUCUGAGCACUCACCCUCACAGCCCUGAUUUCUCUGGGGAGCUGCACUGCCGAUGACCCGGGCUCUGGGGCCCGGAGCUGAUUGUCUGCUGCCCAGCUGUUGGCAGCUGGCCUUUCAGCCAUUAACCUCUCUGGGUAUGGUCAGACCUAGGGUAGACAUCUCGAAUCUGAAGGAGUGAAUAGAACUUCCAUGCCAUUUUUAAAAUAUUGUGCAGUAAAUAGGCUGGGAAGUUUUAACAAAUGACCUACCUCUGACAGCAGAAGCUAAAUGCAAUGCAGAGAAUAUGUAUUUUAGAUUUCAAUUUAAAUAAGGCUUGGAGAUUGCGAUAGCUCCUGGUUACUUUUGCUCUGUUGCGGAUAGCAUAGUAGUUGGAAAUAGUUUUGGUGACCCAUAAUGGUAAGAUAUUCUUUGGAGUGCUGUGCAGUAGUUGGUGACAGCUCUUUAUCUGAAACACCACAUCCCACCAGGAAUACCAGCAAAACUGUUCUUAAUUCUCAGUAUUCAAGAAUUCUUUAAGAGAUGAUGUUCAGUUGGCACAGAGCUUUUUGAUUCUUACUGCUGGCAGAUAAGUUGUUUACCGUGCUGAACAAUAUGUAUCAAGUAGGAAACAAAUCCUGAAACUAUUGGUUUUGUUGGUUAAGUUCUCCUCUUAUUUUCUGCAAUGUAAGGAUUAUUUUUAAAAUGUCAGCAGCCUUCCUGAACUGAUAGGAAUUGCCUUGUGAAAUAAAUAAAUAAAUAAAUCAGACAUAAAAAUUGAGAUCUGAACCUAAAAUAUCUGAACAAUAAAUAAAAUUGCUUUCUGAAUGGGAUUGCCAUAUUACAACUUUAAAAUAUAUGUCUCCAUUUCAGUUCCCUGUGCAGGCCUGUGUAUUUACUAUUUUACCUUUUAGAUGUCAACUGCCCCAAACAGUUCUAUAAAUUGAACUUAGAUUUGAAGCAGAAAGUAAUUUUCUAAAGAUUUUAAUUCAUAUUUUAGGGGAGAGCGUGAUAUGUAUGCAAUACAUAUGAAAAGCAUGUAGUCUGAUUUUUAAUUCUGAUUUUUAAUUCUGAUUCUAUAGUCGUACAGAAUAAUACCCGAUUCUUUGAGCAAAUUCUUUCAACUUAUCUGGAUAACUUGAGGUACAGGCUACAGUCAGAGUACAAACACUAUCAAGGUAUCGUAAUGUCUUCCUUAAAAGACAUUAUAUUAAGAUGACAAAAGUAGGAUGGCUAUUUUGUACGUGUAGCAUAUAUUCUAUGUUUUCAUGUAACUUUCUGUUUCUCAAGUCUGAAGCCCAACUAAGUGAUGGCAGCAAUUUUGUGCCAGCUGGCAGCAUUCUUCAGAGAAAUAGGAGCAACAGGCCAUAGAAAUGGUCAGGUAACAACAUACCUUUCUUCCCAUUAGAGAAGAGAAUAACAAAAUAGCAGCUCUGCUUGUUUCAUAAUACCAAGGAAUUUCCUACAAAAUAGUGGAGGUCUGGGCAAGAUGAGGAAUGAGUUCCAAUUACAAAGAUAGACCGACCUGCCUUUGAUUCAGUUUUCCUUCUGGUUCUGGUUGGAAAUUUUGCAUUACAGAAUAUAUAUUGUCAAAUUUCUUGUUCCACUGAUUUUUUUUUGUUAC